AAUAGAUACCCAGGUAGUCCUAGCCGUAAACGAUGAACACUAGGCGUAGUCGGUAUUGACCCCGGCUGUGCCGUAGCUAACGCAUUAAGUGUUCCGCCUGGGGAGUACGGCCGCAAGGCUAAAACUCAAAGGAAUUGACGGGGGUCCCGCACAAGCAGCGGAGCGUGUGGUUUAAUUCGUCGCAACGCGAAGAACCUUACCAGGGCUUGACAUGUGGCGGAAAACGGCGGAAACGUCGUCCUCCCGCAAGGGACCGUCAUGCAGGUGUUGCAUGGCUGUCGUCAGCUCGUGUCGUGAGAUGUUGGAUUAAGUCCCGCAACGAGCGCAACCCCCGUGGCAUGUUGUAUCUCUCAUGCCAGACUGCCGAGAGAAACUCGGAGGAAGGUGGGGAUGACGCCAAGUCAGCAUGGCCCCUUACGCCCUGGGGCUACACACACGCUACAAUGGCCGGUACAACGGGUUGCCAAACCGCGAGGUGGAGCUAAUCCCUCAAACGCCGGUCUCAGUUCGGAUUGCAGGCUGCAACUCGCCUGC
rnacentral:rRNA from 1 species